rnacentral:rRNA from 1 species
UACGUAGGGUGCAAGCGUUGUCCGGAAUUAUUGGGCGUAAAGAGCUCGUAGGCGGUCUGUCGCGUCGGCUGUGAAAUCCCGAGGCUCAACCUCGGGUCUGCAGUCGAUACGGGCAAACUAGAGUAUUGCAGGGGAGACUGGAAUUCCUGGUGUAGCGGUGAAAUGCGUAGAGAUCGGGAGGAACACCAGAGGCGAAGGCGGCGACCUGGACAGUAACUGACGCUAAACUACGAAAGCGUGGGGAGCAAACAGG